ACGGAAGGCAGCAGUGGGGGAUAUUGCACAAUGGGCGAAAGCCUGAUGCAGCGACGCCGCGUGAGGGAAGACGGUUUUCGGAUUGUAAACCUCUGUCUUCGGGGACGAAAAAGGACGGUACCCGAGGAGGAAGCCACGGCUAACUACGUGCCAGCAGCCGCGGUAAUACGUAGGUGGCAAGCGUUGUCCGGAAUUACUGGGUGUAAAGGGAGAGUAGGCGGGGCUGCAAGUCCGUUGUUAAAUCUAUCGGCUCAACCGAUGGCCGCGGCGGAAACUGUAGUUCUUGAGUGAAGUAGAGGCAGGCGGAAUUCCUAGUGUAGCGGUGAAAUGCGUAGAUAUUAGGAGGAACAUCAGUGGCGAAGGCGGCUUUCUGGACGACAACUGACGCUGAGGCGCGAGAGCGUGGGGAGCAAACAGGAUUAGAUACCCUGGUA
rnacentral:rRNA from 1 species